rnacentral:piRNA from 1 species
UCUAACCCACCAGGAGUUGAUGGCAAAGU